rnacentral:tRNA from 1 species
GCGGGCGUAACUCAGCCGGUAGAGUGUCAGCUUCCCAAGCUGAAUGCCGCGGGUUCGAAUCCCGUCGCCCGCU